rnacentral:rRNA from 1 species
GAUGAACGCUGGCGGCGUGCCUAAUACAUGCAAGUCGAGCGAACAGACGAGGAGCUUGCUCCUCUGACGUUAGCGGCGGACGGGUGAGUAACACGUGGAUAACCUACCUAUAAGACUGGGAUAACUUCGGGAAACCGGAUCUAAUACCGGAUAAUAUAUUGAACCGCAUGGUUCAAUAGUGAAAGACGGUUUUGCUGUCACUUAUAGAUGGAUCCGCGCCGCAUUAGCUAGUUGGUAAGGUAACGGCUUACCAAGGCGACGAUGCGUAGCCGACCUGAGAGGGUGAUCGGCCACACUGGAACUGAGACACGGUCCAGACUCCUACGGGAGGCAGCAGUAGGGAAUCUUCCGCAAUGGGCGAAAGCCUGACGGAGCAACGCCGCGCGAGUGAUGAAGGUCUUCGGAUCGUAAAACUCUGUUAUUAGGGAAGAACAAAUGUGUAAGUAACUAUGCACGUCUUGACGGUACCUAAUCAGAAAGCCACGGCUAACUACGUG